rnacentral:lncRNA from 1 species
UUCAGUUAUCAUAUCAGUGUUUCUCUUAUUCUUGUUUUUCUAGUCUUCUCAUUCUUCAUUCAUAUCAAAUUAUUAUUUUCCAGUCACUUCUCAGUCUUGUGUUUCAGUUAUCAGUGUCUCAUUUUUUGUGAUUCAGAUUUUCUUUUUCGUAUCAUUUCAGUUCAUUUUAUAUUUGUUUCUCUUAUUUAUUCAUUUUAUCAUUCAGUGAUCAUAGUUUCUUUCAUUGGUCAUUGUUAGGUAGGCUAGUUAUCAUAAGUAUUUCAGUUCCUUCAGUUAUCAUAUCAGUGUUUCUCUUAUUCUUGUUUUUCUAGUCUUCUCAUUCUUCAUUCAUAUCAAAUUAUUAUUUUCCAGUCACUUCUCAGUCUUGUGUUUCAGUUAUCAGUGUCUCAUUUUUUGUGAUUCAGAUUUUCUUUGUGUUAGUUGUCGUCAGUCUUGAGACAUUGUAUUGGUAGAAUUAGUCCUUAAUUUUUUGUUUUCCCCUCUUACUCAUUCCUUUUAGUUAUCUCUGUCUUUCAUCCCUUAGUCUUCAGUUAUCAUUCCCGCUGUAGAUUUAAUUAUUCUUCAGUUCCAUCCAUGUUCAUUAUCUUGAUAUUGAUCAUUCUUUUGCUGUUAGAUAACUAAUAUUUAGUGCAACCCCUUCACCAAGUAAAAACUGGCAUGAUCAGAUUUGUCUAUGACCUUAGUUUGUCCUCAGUCAUCUUCAUUGCAACUUUUGUAUUUGUUAAACAUUUGAUUUCGCAUCAGUUUUGUCUAUGACCUUAGUUUUGUCAUCUUCAUCAUUCUAUCUACACAACUUGCUCAUUUUUAUUUCUUCAUUCUUUUUGGUUAGUUUCGAAAGUGAUAUUAGCUACCAAGUUGUCAUCAUGUGGAUGCCCUUUUAAGGUAGCCUCCAGCUUGCGGACCACCCCGACGGUAGGCAUGGCAGGAAUAUGCCUUGGGGGAUGGAUUGUAAGCACUGCCGCGUACAAGACAGUAGCAGAUGGUCGUAUCGCUUUUCAACAAGGAUUUCUGGGAGGAAUUCCUGGAGGAGAACUACCUAGCAUUGACAGAGCGUUGCUAAUCACCAUCAGGAACAGUGCACUAGACGAACUGAACAUGAUGGUUGUCUUCAACGAGAUCUAAUUAUGAGAUUGCCAGGAAUAAGGCUCAUUUAAGUUACCGCAGUUUGUUAUGUUGUCUAUUAUCCAUGUCGCGCCAGCAGAUUGACGAACUAUGCUUUGUUUCUUUUUAUUUUUUACUUGGUGGUAUGCACAGUGAACAACUAUGUAAUAUCGAGUCUGAAAACUUCUUGUGCUUUUUUUGUGUGGCACUUGAUUAUUAUAAGUGACCAGUAAUCAUGUUUCUCCCUUUUAUUUAUUUUUUCUAAGUUCUUCUGUUGUGGCCAUAGUUUGUCUUUCAUUUUGAAUUUUUGGACCGAACAUUUUCAAUGGUUUGGGAGUACCCUUUCAAUUCUCUAUUUUGAGUCGACGAUCAUUUAUCAGUGUUAUUCAUUCUAUUGUAUUAGUUUUAUCCUGUCA